rnacentral:rRNA from 1 species
CGCAGCCGCGGUAAUUCCAGCUCCAAUAGCGUAUAUUAAAGUUGUUGCAGUUAAAAAGCUCGUAGUUGAAUUUCGGGACCAAUCUGCCGGUCGUGCCUCCGGUACGCACUGGUUUUAUUGGUCUCUCCCUUCUGACGAACCAUGAUGUCAUUAAUUUGGUGUCAUGGGGAAUCAGGACUGUUACUUUGAAAAAAUUAGAGUGUUUAUAGCAGGCUCACGCUUGAAUACAUUAGCAUGGAAUAAUGAAAUAGGACGUUUGACCCUAUUUUGUUGGUUUCUAGGAUCGACGUAAUGGUUAAUAGGGAUAGUUGGGGGCAUUAGUAUUCAAUUGUCAGAGGUGAAAUUCUUGGAUUUAUUGAAGACUAACUACUGCGAAAGCAUUUGCCAAGGAUGUUUUCAUUAAUCAAGAACGAAAGUUAGGGGAUCGAAGACGAUCAGAUACCGUCGUAGUCUUAACCAUAAACUAUGUCGACUAGGGAUCGGACGAUGUUAAUUUUUU